rnacentral:lncRNA from 1 species
GCUCUUGAGCUACUUGCUUGAGCCUGCUCCCACUCUGUGGAGUAUACUUUCAUUUCAAUAAAUCUGGCUUUUAUUGCUUCAUUCUUUCAUUGCUUUGUUUGUGCAUUUUGUUCAAAACGUCAAGAACUUGGACAAUCUGUAGUCAAGGACCUCCACUGAUAACAGUUCCACAGAUACACGCAAAGACAAAGAACACAGAAAGCACAUCACCCACAAAAUGCAGAGUACUCUGGAAGAUGGAGUCUUGCUUUGUCGCCCAGGCUGGAGUGCAGCGGCACAAUCUCGACUUACUGCAACCUCCACCUCACGGGUUCAAGCGAUUCUGCUGCCUCAGCCACCCCAGGAGCUGGGAUUACGGGUGUCUGCCAUCACCCCUGGGUGAGCACACAGCAAGAAGGUAGCUGUCUGCAAGCUGGGAAGAGAGACCUAACCAAAACUUAACCACGCUGGCACCCUGAUCUCAGAAACUCAGUCUCCAGAACUGUGAGAAAAUAAAUGUCUGUUGUUUAAGCCACGCAGUCUGUGGUAUUUUGUUAUAGAAGACUGACUGAGCAGACUAAUACAAGGAUUUUGUAUUCUGACUGUGUCAUGUGUGACUUUGAGCAAUUAUUCAACUUCGCUGAG